rnacentral:rRNA from 1 species
AUUGAACGCUGGCGGCAUGCUUUACACAUGCAAGUCGAACGGUAACAGGCCUUCUGGUGCUGCCGAGUGGCGAACGGGUGAGUAAUGCAUCGGAACGUGCCCAGAGGUGGGGGAUAACGCAGCGAAAGCUGUGCUAAUACCGCAUGUGAUCUGAGUAUGAAAGCGGGGGACCAGGCAGCAAUGUUUGGCCUCGCGCCUUUGGAGCGGCCGAUGUCAGAUUAGGUAGUUGGUGGGGUAAAGGCCUACCAAGCCGACGAUCUGUAGCUGGUCUGAGAGGACGACCAGCCACACUGGGACUGAGACACGGCCCAGACUCCUACGGGAGGCAGCAGUGGGGAAUUUUGGACAAUGGGCGCAAGCCUGAUCCAGCAAUGCCGCGUGCGGGAAGAAGGCCUUCGGGUUGUAAACCGCUUUUGUACGGAACGAAAAGGCUCUGGCUAAUACCUGGGGCUGAUGACGGUACCGUAAGAAUAAGCACCGGCUAACUACGUG